rnacentral:rRNA from 1 species
CAACGCCGCGUGAGGGAUGAAGGCCUCUGGGCUGUAAACCUCUUUUAUCAAGGAAGAAGAACUGACGGUACUUGAUGAAUAAGCCACGGCUAAUUCCGUGCCAGCAGCCGCGGUAAUACGGGAGUGGCAAGCGUUAUCCGGAAUUAUUGGGCGUAAAACGUCCGCAGGCGGUUUUACAAGUCUGUCGUUAAAGCGUGGAGCUCAACUCCAUUUCAGCGAUGGAAACUGUAAGACUCGAGUGUGGUAGGGGCAGAGGGAAUUCCCGGUGUAGCGGUGAAAUGCGUAGAUAU